rnacentral:rRNA from 1 species
AUACGGAGGAUGCGAGCGUUAUCCGGAUUUAUUGGGUUUAAAGGGAGCGUAGGUGGGAUAUUAAGUCAGCUGUGAAAGUUUGGGGCUCAACCUUAAAAUUGCAGUUGAUACUGGUUUCCUUGAGUACGGUACAGGUGGGCGGAAUUCGUGGUGUAGCGGGGAAAUGCUUAGAUAUCACGAAGGACUCCGAUCGCGAAGGCAGCUCACCGGGCCGGAACUGACACUGAUGCUCGAAAGUGCGGGUAUCAAACAGGAUUAGAUACCCUGGUAGUCCGCACAGUAAACGAUGAAUACUCGCUGUUUGCGAUACACGGUAAGCGGCCAAGCGAAAGCGUUAAGUAUUCCACCUGGGGAGUACGCCGGCAACGGUGAAACUCAAAGGAAUUGACGGGG